UGUCUGGUAAGCCAAGGAUGACUUGCCUAACUAAAACCAUACUUGGGACUUAAUUUAUACAUAUGUUGAAUUAAGUCUUUUUUUGGUUUAGUAGCGGGCAGGCAUCUAUGGCUAUUUGGCUGUCUCU
rnacentral:pre_miRNA from 1 species